rnacentral:rRNA from 1 species
UACGGAGGGGGCUAGCGUUGUUCGGAAUUACUGGGCGUAAAGGGCGCGUAGGCGGGCGAUCAAGUCAGGGGUGAAAGGCCUGGGCUCAACCUGGGAAUUGCCUUUGAAACUGAUUGUCUAGAGUCCGGAAGAGGAUGGCGGAAUUCCCAGUGUAGAGGUGAAAUUCGUAGAUAUUGGGAAGAACACCAGUGGCGAAGGCGGCCAUCUGGUCCGGUACUGACGCUGAGGAGCGAAAGCGUGGGGAGCAAACAGG